UUGAAUCAAAUUCUAGAUUGAAGUUUUUUCAAGUAAAUUUUUACUAAAAUAUAAUACAUAUACAGAAAAAAUAUAUAUAUAUAUGUCAUAAGUACACAGCUUAAAGAAUGUCCACCAACUGAACAUGCUGAUGUAGCCAGCACCCGGAUCAAGAUGCAGAACCCUCCCAGCCCCCCGGAGAGCCACCUUGUGCCCCUUUCGGUCCCCUCCCCUCCUCAAGGGCUGCCGGCAUUCUGACUCCUAACACCCUGGGUGAGUUUUGCCCGAUUUUGAACUUCGCAUAAAUGGAAUCACGCAGGGUCUGCCCUUUCAUGCCUGCCUUCUUUCGGUCAACAUCACGGCUAUGAGAUUCAUCUGUGUUGGGUCUAGCUGCAGCUCACUGGUUGAGACUGACAUUUUAAUUUGAGGAGUUUUGAGUUUUAAGGACUGAAAGGAGAUGGUUUUGGUAACUAAAAGAGCCUGAGAAAUUAUGGAAUUGGAGAGAGGUGGAUUGAGGAAGCCCACCCCUUAAGAGCUGCAUGACUUUGGACAAAUGACCGAACUUCUUGUUUCUCUGUUUCUGUAACGUGGGGCUAACACAGGUUCCUACUUCACGAGGUCGUUGUGAGGACUCGGUGCAUUGGUGCCUGCGAGAGCAGCGCCUGGCCCGUGGUGAGGGGCUCUCUUGGGAGCCUGCUUCUCACUCCACUACUGCCGCUGCCGUGAAUACUACCUCUACUCUCGUAUUUUUAUUAUUACCCAGAGGGAAAAGGGAGGUUUCAACAGAGCAUAUUUGGUAGUAGUUAUUAUAAAAAUAAAAUGAUUUCUAGUUAGAGACGUAUCCCUAAACCGGUUAGGUGUGCGUCUCAGGUAAAGCACACAUCAACCCUGAGAAGUUAGUACAGAUCAUGCCCAUUUGACAGAUGAGGCAGCUGAGGCUUGGAGGGAGAAGCAGCUUCUUUGGGGUCACAGAGGGACUUGGUGGUGGAGCCAGGGCCUCUCUAAGCAGGGAAUCCUGCCCUUCUCUUUGCCCUUUUGCCUACUUCUCAUGUCCUGCUAGAUCCGGCAGUCCUCAGGAUGUACUGGGGUGACCCCACUGGGCUGCCCUUGGCAUGACCACCCAUCCAUGUGGUGCUGUCUUUAGAACUUACUGGAAUGUUUUCUGUAUUGAUUUUCUUAUCGACCUGUUCACAUGAGGCUCAGUCUUUCUUGCGGGUCUCAUAAGCAGCACUUUGUGAAAUACCAGGUGGGUCAGUGAUACUCAGCAAACAGGUUCUAAGGUAGCCCCGUGGUAGUGGUAUGGUGGCUGGGAAUGUUGGUUUUUAUGGGGCUGAAAUCAGUCAACUGAGGUAACAGAAUUCUAUUCUAUUGGCCUGUUCACCCCUGAACCAGAAUUCUCACACUGCAAAUCAAGAAAUUGGCCCGCAAGAACAGGAGAGGAGUUUGUGAGAAGGAUGUAAGGCACUUUAUAGACAUGGAGAAAGAAAUGCCAGAAGCAAGCUUGAAAAGGCUUGAGAACAGGAUGCCCUGGGGGGGCGGGUCUUGGUUGCAUAAACUGGCAAGUGUCUUCUUCAGCUCUGAUGACCUGUCACUAAGGAUGCUUUGGCUGCAAGUAAUAGAGAACAACGACUCAAACUGGCUUAAGCAGUAAUGGAGUUGGUAUGGCGUCUACUCUUCCACACCCUUGAAUCUGAUCUGGCUGAGACCUUGUGUCUGUUUUGACUAGUAGAACAUGGUGAAAGUGAUGCUGGGCUAGUUCUGGGCUUCCUGCCACAUGUAGCCCUGAGCCACCACGGAAGGAGUCUAGGCUGCUCCAGUGGGAGGGCACUGAGAUGCCAUCUUGGAUGUCCAGCCCAAGUCAAGAGGACGUCAACCCCAGUAGCCAUCUGCUUGCAACAGCACGAGAGAAACCAAGUGAGAACCGCUUAUCUGAGUCCAGUCAACCCACAGAACAUUUUCCAGGCCAGUGUUGGUGCCCACGGUCAUCCUCUUCAGCCCACCCUGGAGGAUUGCCUGAAGCUUGGUGGACAGUUCUGUACACACCUAUGGCAUCUGCAUCACUGCCCAGGGCCUGUGUGUUCAGCGUGUACACAGCAGGUCACAAGGGAAGUGCCUGGGAGUUGAUAGCCCCAGGCAGCACCUUCCACCAUUGAGAGAUGGGCAUGGUGGAUAAACGUCCCAGCUUCCUCACCCCCUCACAGGACACUCCAGUGUACGCUACAUCGUCUUCCAGAGUCCUCACUGAGAUUGAGCCCUGGUUGCCCAUAAAGGUGAACAACGCACUGACACUCCCUUUAUUCUGGUCCUCCCUUCCCUGUCUCAUUUCCCACUUCCUCAUUAUUCUUCCUGAGGUUGUUUCCCAAAUAAACUACUUGCACCUAGGGAGUAGCAGUUGCUGUUUGUGAGCCUCAGAUUUUAACAUUUGCCGGACUUCAUCUGCCCAACUUCUAGCUGCUAGCAUCUUCAUCUUUUUGCAUGAGUUUGUUUUUUCCCUGGCUGUUGGAGUUGAGCAGGCUAGAAGUGCUGGAGAAUUAAUUCUCUCUCCCCUCUGCCCAGCAGCCAUCAACCUGUGCAUGGAAGGAGGUGGUGUAUAAAUACCCCAGCUCCCUGGUCCCUCAGGUAGAACUCUGAGACACAUGUUUUAUACUGGGGGCGGGGGGCGGGGAGGUGAAGCUCCAGUUGCCUGUGGUAGUAACUGUCUUGAUAACUUGCUUCAUUUUGGCUGCUCUCCCUUCCCUUCCUCACUCUCCUCUUCCCUACUGAUGUGUCUUUUGUCUUCCGGAUAAAUUACCUGUCCUUGAAUCUUUGUCUCAGGAUCUGCCUCUGGGGAAACCCAAACUACAAUACAAGUUCUGCUAUGGGAGGUUUCCAAACGAAGAUAUCAAUUAGAUCCAAAUGCAGUCUUGCCUUAAACCUCCCCCAAAGAACAGGGUGGAACACGCCACUGUCCAGUUAUGCAGCACUCCUGUAAUAAUUCCAUCCGGAGCUGAAGCAGAUGACUCCUGUUCACUGAGUGGAAGGACCUCAUCUUUCCUGUGGCAUUAAUAAGCCUCACACCCCACCCUUUGGUACAUAAUCGCCCCCUGUAUUUCACAUGAAUUCCUUUGUUGUCUUUCACAACGUUACUGAAACACAGACAAUGCUCUGUUGAUAGCUUUGGAAAUGCCCCUUGGGUAUCCAGUGGGGGGGCGCCUCUUUCUCCUAUUUAUUUAGUUACUUUCUGGGGAUAGUACACAUGCUGAAUGUUGUCAGCGAAGUUAGUCUGGCUGAAUACUUUCAUCUGCCAAAAAAAAUUUUGCAGAGUGGCUGAUUGGAAAUCCCACAGCAACCAACCCCCCACCCCCAUGACACUUUAUGUUAUUUUCUACAUUUUCUUUCUUUUCAUAGUGGUGAAUAUGAAGGAUGUUUGCUAAUUGGGGGCCCUUCUGCAUCUACUGCGUUCUCUUCUGUGCCACGCACCCUGCGUUUCCAUUGGCAUCACCCCUUCUGCAAGUUCUCUGUCCAGGAGGUUCCUGUGACACUCCUCUCAACAGAGAGCAUUGAGACUUAGCACCAGCCAAUCAGUGGCCACCACGACUGGUUCAGGCAUGGGCAUGUGGUACAAAUUGGUCCAAUCAGAGUUCACCGCAGGAUUUGUUUGGUAGCAACUAGGAAGCCAGCAGCUCUGCCUUGCAGUUCCCCAAUGAGCUUAGAGUGGUUGGGUCACUGACAAAUGAACUUGGCUCACUGAAAGUCUCAAUUCCUAGGAAUUUUAGAUGUUAAAACAUUUUUUUUCCACCAAACAGUGCUCCCUAUUGUAUUAUGUUAAAUCUCCCUGGAGAGCAGAUUCCUUACCAGUAUUUUUGAGCAGAGACUAUAAUUUUCUAGUCACUCUUGCUUGUUUUAAAAAGCUUAGCCUAAAAUAGUUCCAAAAUCUGAGCAAAUGCCUGAUUUAACUCUUAUAUUGGUCAGGAUAUUAGUCCAGCUGCAGUAAUGAAAGCCAAAAGAGGGCUUCCCUGG